rnacentral:pre_miRNA from 1 species
ACAACAUUCGGAAUGUCGGUCUACCGAGCAAUAUCACCCGCUCGUUGGAAGAUCUUCCCUUCGUCGU